UACGUAGGGUGCAAGCGUUGUCCGGAAUUAUUGGGCGUAAAGAGCUCGUAGGCGGCUUGUUGCGUCGGCUGUGAAAACCCAUGGCUCAACCGUGGGCUUGCAGCCGAUACGGGCAGGCUAGAGUUCGGUAGGGGAGACUGGAAUUCCUGGUGUAGCGGUGAAAUGCGCAGAUAUCAGGAGGAACACCGGUGGCGAAGGCGGGUCUCUGGGCCGUAACUGACGCUGAGGAGCGAAAGCAUGGGGAGCGAACAGG
rnacentral:rRNA from 1 species